GCCACAGCUGGCCUUUUAUGCAAGUCCCCAAGCAAGGUGUACGUCCACAUGGACCUUGUUGGGGACAGGGACACAAAGCUUACAAACCAAUCAGAACAGUAAUUAAAUUAUGACACGCCCAUAACAAAUAUACUAUCCCUCCCCUCUCCCUGUGAGAUAAUUGAGUCAGAUAUUGUAUUAACCCAAAUAGUGUUUGCAACUAAAUGUUAAAUGAUAUAUUUAUGACUGCUAAUAAUGGCAGAAAUAAAAAAGUAAGACAACAAAAUAAUAAAAGUAAAAAGAAG